GGAAUUAGUGGGCGUAAAGCGUGCGCAGGCGGAUUGUUAAGCAAGACGUGAAAUCCCCGGGCUUAACAGGGGAAUGGCGUUUUGAACUGGCAGUCUAGAGUGUGUCAGAGGGGGGUGGAAUUCCACGUGUAGCAGUGAAAUGCGUAGAGAUGUGGAGGAACACCAAUGGCGAAGGCAGCCCCCUGGGAUAACACUGACGCUCAUGUACGAAAGCGUGGGUAGCAAAC
rnacentral:rRNA from 1 species